ensembl:lncRNA
CUUUGAAGAAGAAACUACGGCUGUCGGGUGAUUUUUUUUCCGUGAUCUUAAUAUUUAUAUCUCCACAUUGUUUUAUUUUCCCCUGUAGGAGGGGCUUUUAUUUUCUUUGUUUUUAAAACUCUAUCCUUGUAUAUCACAAUAAUGGAAAGAAAGUUUAUAGUGUCCUUUCACAAAGGAGUAGUUUUAAAUUCCAUUUAAAAUGUGUAUUUAUUGGAUUUUUUAAAAGCGACAAUAGUAAUGGUAAUGGAUGGGCAGGAAAGGCCAGCAGUGCUGUUCCCACUGGCAAGCUCGGCCUCUUGGGAGCUGACAGAUUCUCUCGGCAAACUGCCCCUGGUGAGCCAAGUGCAGCAUGUAGCCCUAGUCUAUCCUUCCCUCCCCGUGGGCAAGGAGCCCCCAGGCCAGCUUCCUUCCUGUCCGGGAGGAUGGGAGAAGCUGCAGAGAACUGUCUGGGGCCCCUUCCCAGUCAGCAGUUGGGCGGAGGCACCCCAGGCCCAGCCCAGGAUACGCUGGCAUGGAUCUCCCCAGAAACCAGGUUGGAAGUAGACAGCGUCAAGCUUGCUAGUCUCCACACUGAAUUCUCUCUGUCCGUUAUUUAUCAAGUCCACAGGAUAUCAUGGCUCACUAGCUAGCAGCACCUCACGCUGGAGCUGGAGUUGGAGUUGAGAGGCUCCUAGAGCCCUCUCCACCAUGUCAAUAAGGUAAUGAAUACUGGGCCGAAGGAAUUUGUCUUAGUGGCAGUUUUUUAAAAUCGCCCCAAAGUCUAUGCUAAUACCGAAAAAGGGCUACUGUAUCUCUUAACACAAGAAGUUGAACUCAAGCUGUGAAGAGCCAAACUGGCUCUGUGCGUGGAGUUGUGCAGAGCCUGGUGCUGUAGUGUUGUGCUGGGACUUUGACUCUUGGGCAGGUUGCGUCCUGCGGGAGCUCAGCAAACCAGUGUAACAGCAGUUAACACACCUGUCCUUUCCUGGAUCUCCACAUUGGACAGUGGUGCAUGCCUCCCCGGCCCACCUCCUCCUGCUUUCUGCAGGAGCAAGGCCUACACUUAAAGUGCAAGAGUCAAACGUUUUCAACAGGUUGCUAUGAUUUUCCUCCCUCAUUGGUGCCAGUUCUCCAUUGGAUAAUUUUUUUUUCUUCCUCCCCUUUCCAUCCCCUGUAACACACCCAUUCUGAAAUUCUGGUGCAUUUGUUUAGUUCUUUGAAAAGAGAAUGUGGUGCUUCAUUUUUGUGACAUUAUUGAGAGAGGUUCAAGCUGACAGUUGGAAGCAAGACUCAUCGACAGCCAGUCAGACUUCUUGGAGUGCUUGUUUUUCCUGUGGUAUUAGCAGAAGUGAUACCAAGUUACCCGUGUAGACAUGUGUGUUGAGUGGGGGCUUCAUCAGGACGCACGGGGUGUGGCUACACAGUGAGUGACAGCCAACCAGAUAUUUAUUAAGCAGUUUUAUUCAGAUGUGGUUCUUUAUAAAUUGAGUUUAACAAUCAAUUGACAGUGCUAACGGCAAGCUCCUGAGCCUCCAGGUGCCUUGUGUAAGAGCUGAGACCAAUCCGCUGGGUAUUUACUGUAACCUUUUGGAAGCACUGGCGGAGUCGCUAUAAGAUGUUCUGAGCAUUUAUGUGGUCUGGUUUUAACUGUAAAUAGUAAAAAGAUUUUUUUAAGCACUUUUGCCUAGAUUUAAACAGCAACUUGAAGAAAAAGUACGUUUUAACAUGUAAUUGUGGGAGAAAUUGUAAAUAGUAGCUGAAUAUUUAACGUGCUUUGUCUAUCCUCCACUUUUACCAUAUUCUGUAAAGUUGCAUUUAUUUUACAGGACAAAAAUGAAAUAUUAUUGCUUUUGAAAUAAAUACCCAAGAGCUUAUCAGGAUUUAGAAUUAUUCAGAACUCAGAUUUAUAGGAAAACCUCUGACCUUCAGUCUGACAAGCUAAAGGAAGCAGAGUCUUUAAUGAGCAUGCUAAUUUUCUAGUUUUGAGGAAAAGUUGGGUCCUUUAAAUGCUAUUUUGCUUAUCGCAUCAGUACUUUUAUGCAGGUCUCAUUUGACUCCGUGCUUAGGUAGAUGCGGGGGUGCCUUGAAAACUUCAUUUUAAAUGAUCUUACGCAAGAAAUACGAUAUUUUACAAAACGUUGAGAAUGUGACCGUCUGUCUGACCCGUGGAAGCCCCAGGUUGGCUGUUGGUUUGGAAGGUCCCGAGUGUAACCUAGGUGAUUCUGAUACUUGGCAUGUGUGGAUCUCUGAUGUUUGUUAACUGUGCUCUUCCCCUUGUCACCCUUUGGUAGCAAAGCCAUUAGAAAGGAGAAACCAAUACAAGCUACAAGCAUGUGUCUGUCCCCCAGCCCACACAGUCUUGGGUCAUUAGCUUCAAGGCUGGAACCAGGCUGCUGAGAGGCGAGUCAGGAAGCAGGCUCCAUGGGAUGCGCCAUGCCCCUCUGAGCAGGGACAGAGAGUUAGCUGGUGCUGUUGCCAUGCUCAAACCCAUGCUGAUUUUUACACACUACAUGUAUAACCUACCUCAAAUCUCAGUCAUUGAAAUUAGCAUGCUUUAGACGUAUAUUUAAAAAGUAACUAUGCACAGCUCUUUAUCCCCCCUUGCUGCUGAAGGCUUCUUAAAGAAAAAAAUCAAAUUUUUAUUUUUUACUGGCAUUAUCAUUUUUUAAGUCCUAAAGAUGGUUGACAAACAUUUUUAUCAUGAGAAGAAAAAUAAAGCCAUUGCAACUAAAGAACCUAACAGCAUGACCAAGUUUGAAGAGUAAUAUAGGAACAGAAAAUGGAGUCUUGUAGUCCUCUCCCCAUUGUACCCUGUCCACAGACACCAUACGUAGUGCAAAUGUUUGGUUCCUUUUUUUGCUUUGUUUUGUUUCCCCUGCCUGUUGUGUGCAAGGGAAGUACUUGCAAAGUUCUAUCCUAAGAGAUUUUUUGUAAGUAAAAAUCACUUCACAGCAGGUUCUCACCCAAUAACUGGUGCUAGCUCAAGAAACCAUCAUCUUACCAUCAGAAAGCUUGACUAAUGGUGUUGCAUAGAUUUGGGAGGUUUUGUUUGGGGUCUCAUUUUUAGCAGGGCCUCAGUUCCCCACACCUGGCUCCCCAGGUGCUGCUUUGCCUGCUCCCUGAGAUGACAGUGGUGUGCAUGGAAAGGUUUUCUACCUGCCCCUUCUGAUCCUUCCCCUGCCUCUUUUGGAAACCGUAGUGUGCAGAGCAAGGGAUUUUUAAAGCACUAAUGCAAGGAAAGAAGUCUCAGAGCGUAAUUGCUUUGUAUCAGCAGUAGAUGAAUGAGGAUGGUUGACAGUAGAUGGUGACCUGAUUUCUCUGAGAGAAACCCAGCCAGACUUUCGUCUUGACAUUUAACCAACCCGUGAUGCCAACCCAAGGCAAAGCUGGUGGAAAACUCUGAUAUAUCCCUGACGUGCCUCAACCAAUAUCUCUUUCCUUUUGUUACUGAAGUGUGUUUUAUGGACUAGGAAGCAUUUUUAUGAGUUGAAAUAGUCUAAAUAAAAUGGUGCUAUGGUGUUUUAAUGUGACUGUCCCUGAUCCUGUCUUGCUGAGGUGCUAUCAAUGUUCUGAAACCACAACCAACCAAAAACAAGGUGGGCUCCAGUCUCUCUCGGCUAUUUUUGUUCCUCCUCGUUUGGUGCUGUCUUCUCAGACCUCUGUUUACCAUGCUAUAAUCUGCUCUGAGCAGUUUUAGUUUUGUUUUAUUGUUCUUCCCUUGGCCAAACAAAGAAAGGCAGUCAAGAAGGCGGCUCACUCCCUUGCUGAGGGGCCUGCCUGGCUUGGCGGGUGCUUUGGUUUCAAGCCUGUCUUCUCAGGCCCAAUGGGGAGGCAAGGACAUGCAAUGCUUUCUCUGAGGAAGGGGAGUCAGGUGCUCCUGCCUUGUCUAGCACAGCAUGUGUCUUAGUCAGAGCCGCACAUCUUUCUCCUGCGGCCCAGGUGCUGAGCAGGUGUCUGUCCCUGGGAAACUCAAGGGGCCCAUGGAGUGGGUGCAGAGGAAGCUUCUUCCUCACCUGGCACUGGUUGGGACCAUGGUGGGCAAGGGGUUUGUUCCUUUGCUCCUCCCAGCCUUUGCCCCAGUGUGGCUUCCAGUGCUUAUCGGUAGCCCCUCAUGUUCAGACUAAUGGCAGGAGCUUUCUUUGUCCCUUGAUGUCACUGAGGCUGCUUUUAGUUGGUGCUAAAUUUCUCCUUGUGUCCACAGAAGUUAAUGUUUUUAAGAACUCAACAGGAAGCUCCAUUUUUGCAUCAUCCACUGUCACAAUUUUUUUUAAAUACCUCAAAAACAGGACAUUGUGACAACUUAGUAGAUUCCAUGAGGCUCUGAUACCUGCAGGUUUUUUAUUUGAUGACAUACUUGACCUUGAAGUGUCUGGGGUCAUGGUGUUUUUCAUUCUUAGUUAAAAUGAUGGCAGAAGGCCUAAAGGAAAGAAUGUGGUUGACUCUGUUUCCUUUUUAAGUUUUGCUUUUGAAUAAAAUGUGAAUUCCCUUAUGCCCAUCUCAUUGAGCUUUCUCAGUCAUUGUUGCUGUCAUUUGCAAUGACUCCCUCAAGAUCUAGUUUAUUAGCCAGCUGCAUCUGCUGUAGUAUGUGGCUGACUUCAACAAGUCCUGGACCAAAAUAAUAUUUUUGAGGUGCAUAGCUCAACAUAGGUUAUACAGUCCCACACUCACACAUGCAUAGCUUUCUCCACAAGUGCGGGCCCCACCUGGCACGCCCAGUACUUCCUACCACAGAGUUGCCAGCAAGAGCAAAGCAAUAGGCUUCUCCCCUGAGCAGAGACCUCAGUGCAGAAAUGCCAGGUCUAAAGUUGAUUUUUGCCUAAGAAUCCGUAAGCUAUUUGGCCUACUUCCUCAUUUGCUUCUAUUCUGAUAUCAGGGAUGCUUUUUGUAGUGGUAUUAUUUGUGCUCUCCUCGUUUUGACUAACCUGUCAUUCAGGAGGAACUCAUCACUCUUCACAUGGGGACUUAAAAUAUGAAUUGGCUCAUCCAACAUUCCAAAUUUUCUUAGUUCCAAUACCUUUUCAUUCAUUUUUUUUUUGAAGGGAAAAAGGGGGAGAAAAACAGGAGUGAUGUCAUUUCUUUUCCAUGUAUUUAAUUAAAGAAACAAGGACUGGUUGUCUUGUGGCAUAUUAAUGCAUUAGACUUAAUCUAGAACCCCUGUAGCUUUCUGAUGUGUUUUAUUUCUUAUCCCUUUGAAUUCCUGUUUGGUUACUUGGCUUCCAAUGGAGGUGAACUUAACAACCAUACUUGAAUAUUCCGUCUUGACUUUGUAAACUGUGGCUACUUGAAAUGAAGUUUAUCUGGGGUUGAUGGAUGAAUGAUAGAUUUUUGCAAUGUCUCAAGGCAAUAGGAUGUGUAUUAAACUGUAGAUAUUCUUAGUACAGUAAAUUUAUGCUGAUAAUUUUAUUUUGUAUAAUUUUUACCUUUUUGUUAAUAUUUUUUCUUCCACUUUAUUGGUUUGCCUCCUGAGCUACCCCUCCUUGCCCUCCCUUCUCCCCCAGUGUUUCAGUAAAUUUAAUUUAGGGUGCCUAGAAAUUGCAAGUAUGUAUCCUUUUUUGAUUUGUAUUAUUAUAAUUUACACAAACAACUGGGUUUGUGAACUGUAUUACUCCUGGUAUCUUUAAAAUAUUGUGGGUGUUUUAAUAAAUUUUAUAUUUAUUUUUUGCACUCAAA